UCGCGGGUCUCCUUGUAUGGAGAUUGAGACGCUUCAUCAUACUUUGACACUCCAGAGAGUGUCGAUCCACAGAGGGGUCUUCUUCAGACAUGGUGCAUACAGCAGCAGUAGCAGCAGCAGCAUCGAUCCAUCGUCUUGGACUGCAACAACGCAAAGAGAAAAGAAAGCUUACUCGAAUUACUCCAAUACUCCUCCAUCAUGUACAACAAGCAAGCAUACAACAAGCAAAAAUCUUCUUUUGUUCCCUACAAAUGUACAGCAAGCAAUCAAGUUACCUACAAAUGUACAGCAAGCAAGAAUGCAAGCAAGUCACUAGAGCAGUACUCCUUUUGUUCCCUUUGUUCCUCACAAGCAAAAAAGCAGAUCUGAAGCACAAGCACAAGCUUUAGUGAGCUCGGUAAAACUUCACUACUUGCACAUCACUAGAAGCAUAUGUCAAUGGAGUAAAAUUCAGUAAACAUCACAAGGAGCAGCCAAAAGUUCACAGGAAAAAUUCAGUGAACAGCACUGCAAGCAAAAUUCAGUAAUGUUUACUCCAUCACAAGAACUUUACUGGACUUGAGCUCCAUCAUAACUUCACAAGAUCUAAAGCAGCAGCAUCACUAGAGCAGAACUACUACACCAACACCAUCACUAGAGCAGAAAUACAGUAGCAUCAUCGGAGCAGAACCACUCCAUCGCAGCAUCACUUAAGUAGCAGCAUCAGUACAGAGGACAAGCACAAGGACUCAC
rnacentral:lncRNA from 1 species